UGAACUAUUCUCCAGGCUUAGUAUCUCUGAUACUCUUACUGCUUGAAGAACCCGUGGAGAUUCAGUGACCCAGAUGGAAGGGCCAGUGACUCUCUCAGAAGAGGCCUUCCUGACUAUAAACUGCACGUACACAGCCACAGGAUACCCUUCCCUUUUCUGGUAUGUCCAAUAUCCUGGAGAAGGUCUACAGCUCCUCCUGAAAGCCACGAAGGCUGAUGACAAGGGAAGCAACAAAGGUUUUGAAGCCACAUACCGUAAAGAAACCACUUCUUUCCACUUGGAGAAAGGCUCAGUUCAAGUGUCAGACUCAGCGGUGUACUUCUGUGCU
rnacentral:lncRNA from 1 species